CUUCCUGCAUUAUUCAGCCUAACCAUGUGCCGUGCUGUGCAGAACACACGUCUAGAUUAGUCAGAAGGGAAGAUUUGCUUAAGCAUGGGAUUCAGAUGAGUGGCCAGCUCCUGCUGCACAUCAGUCGGCUGAACAAAGAAUAUGUUUCUUUCACGACUGUUUUGGGGUGAAAGCCAAAAAGUGCCGUCCUCCAUGCACUUCGUUUUAUUUGGGAGUUUGUGUUAGCAGAUGUGAGUAGGCCCCUCCUGGGUGCAGAUUUCCUGUGCACUAAUGGACUGUUGGUUGAUGUCAAAAGGACUGCUGGUUCAUGCCUGGGCCCGUCGAUUAGAUCCAGUGAAACUGACAGUUGCCAAGGCCAAGUUCGCUAACAUUGAAAAACUGGGUAUAGUGCAAUGCUCUAACAGUCCUUGGGCCUCGCCCCUCCACAAAGUCCCCAAAGCAGAUGGUGGUGACCGCCCAUGUGGAGAUGAUUGUCAACUCAAUGACAUCACCACGCCCGACCGAUACCCAGUUCCGCACAUUCAGGAUUUUUCGGCCCGAAUUGUGUGAAUUAUUUUGUUGAAAGCGGAACUUAUUCGAGGUUACCAUCACGUGCCAGUCUUCAAGGAGGACACCCCAAAAACAGCGGUGACAAAAUUAUUUGGGCUUUUAGAAUUUUUGCGGAUGCCUUUUGGACUCAAAAACGCAGCACAAACCUUUCAGCGCAUGAUGGACUCUGGCUCCUAGAAUGGGUCACCCAGCCACCAUCAAAAGGAUGGACCCAGGGUGAAAUCUCAGAUUGUUAAAGAGGUUCAACAUGCUGCUGACUCAAGCUACUGCACAUGUUCAGCGAGACCAGUUCAAGCCCCAAGCAAGCUUCUGUUAUUUAUCACUGAUACAUAAUUCACACAUCACCAACACACACAUGCAUAUUUGACACGUCCCCUUUAAGAGUUAGAGAGUUUUGUUGAUGUGCAGUUAAGAUGCAGAAAGUGUAAAAAAAGAAAAAAUAUAUGACUGUUCUGGUCUGAAGCAGC